UUAAGCAUAUCAAUAAGCGGAGGAAGAGAAACUAACAAGGAUUCCCCCAGUAACGGCGAGCGAAGUGGGAACUGUUCGAGCCUAAAAUCCCCGGCAGUCACUGUCAGGGGAGUUGUGGCCGCGAGAAGCAGCUAGGGGCGGGCUUGGAAUUGUCGAAGUUGACCUGGAAAGGCGCGUCACAGAGGGUGAGAGCCCCGUGAACGACACUACCUGCCCGUUUCGUCGCUGUUUUCGAAGAGUCGGGUUGUUUGGGAAUGCAGCCCCAAGUGGGUGGUAGACUCCAUCUAAAACUAAAUAUUGGCACGAGUCCGAUAGCAAACAAGUACCGUGAGGGAAAGGUGAAAAGUACUUUGAAAAGAGAGUCAAAAAGACCGCGAAACCGUUAGGAGGGAAACGCGUGCAGCUAAAUGGUAGCUCGUCCCGAGCUCAGGAGCGAUGUCGGUCGGCAAUGCCGUUCUGCAGGAGCCGCAAGGCCCUGCAGUUCGGACAGCCUCCGUCUCCUCUGCACUCUCGGGCUUGCUGGCCAGCAACAGUUGCCUGCGACCGACGAGGGCGUUCGGGUAGGUAGUCUUCUUUCGGGAAGAAACUUACAGCCGUUUGUCUGGAGGUUCGCAGGUGGCCGAGGUAUCCUCUCGCAGCGCAGGCCUUUCGGGGCGUGAGCCGCUUCUGGCCGUUCUGGUGCCGCUUCGAGGACUGCUUGCAGUGCUAGUCGACGGUUACUGGCUCGGGCGGGAGGUCGGUGACAAUCUGCGCUCAGGUUGCUGGUGUUCAAAUGGCUGCACGCGACCCGUCUU
rnacentral:rRNA from 1 species